AAAUGUUAUAAAAGAACAAAUUAUGUAAAACACACUCUCUCAAAUAAAGGAGUUGAUGUAUGGAAUUCGUUAGAAACAAAACUUAAUGAAGUAAACUCCUAUAACACCUUUAAAAAGAGAAUUAAACAACAUUUUUUGCUAUACACAAUUACCAAUAUAUAAAACAUACUUCUCUAAUGUAUAUAAUGACAUAUACUUUAGUCUAUUGUGCCCAACAUUGUCAUUGUAAAAUUAAAUGCAUCUACAACAUUACUAUUAAUUUAUAUAAUACGAACAUUCCCACUUCUUUUUCUCUCUUGUAAAUAUAGUGUAUAUACUUCAAAACUUUCUGAUUUUAAAUAUUAUGUAUUGAUUGACUGUAAAUAAUCGAUUAUGUGAUAAAACGAACAGUAACUAGAGACCUAAAAUAAAAAGUCUAUGAAGAUUUCUAGUAGGUCUCUAGCCCAACAUCUUCAAAUUAUUGUAAUAUAUUUUAAGUAGAUUUU